UGGGGGAUAUUGCACAAUGGGCGAAAGCCUGAUGCAGCGACGCCGCGUGGGGGAUGAAGGCCUUCGGGUUGUAAACUUCUUUUGCUCUGAACAAGGCAUGCUAAUGGGUGUGUUGAGUGUAGGGGUUGAUUAGCGCCGGCUAACUACGUGCCAGCAGCCGCGGUAAUACGUAGGGCGCGAGCGUUGUCCGGAAUUAUUGGGCGUAAAGGGCUUGUAGGUGGCUGGUUGCGUCUGUCGUGAAAGCUCAUGGCUUAACUGUGGGUUUGCGGUGGGUACGGGCUGGCUUGAGUGCAGUAGGGGAGGCUGGAAUUCCUGGUGUAGCGGUGGAAUGCGCAGAUAUCAGGAGGAAUACCGGUGGCGAAGUCGGGUCUCUGGGCUGUUACUGACACUGAGGAGCGAAAGCAUGGGGAGCGAACAGG
rnacentral:rRNA from 1 species